rnacentral:lncRNA from 1 species
GUUUUAAGGUUAGGGGUAGGGGUAGGUUGAGUGGUAGGGUUAGGUUUAAGGUUAGGGUAAUAUUUAUAGCUACGGUUCUUGUUAGGAUAGGAGUCAUGGUCAGGGUUAGUUUUAGGGUUAGCAUUAAGAGUCGAAUUAGGGCUAUUGUUAAUGUCAGUGUUUGGUUUGAGUUUAGGGCAGUGUUUAGAGCUAGGGUGAGUGUUAGGAUAUGAGUCAGGGUCAGGAUUAGUUUUAAGGUGAGUCUUAGGACUCGAAUUAGGGCUAGGUUUAGGUCUAGGUGUAGUGUUAGUGUUUAGUUUAAGUUAAGGUUUAGGGUUAGGGCUAUUAUUCAGUUUGGGUUAACUGCUAGAAAUAGGGUUAGGGCUAGUUUUAUGAUUAGCAUUAGUGUUAUGGCUAGUGUUAGUUUGGGGCUUAGGUUUAGGUUUAAGGUUAGAUUUAGAAUUAGAGUUAGGGCUGGGACCAAAUUUAGGGCAAGUGUUAGGGCUAGUGUUAUGUUUACAGUAGUGGAUAGGGAUAGAACUAGGGAUAGGGCUAGGGCAAGAGUUAGAGUUAGUCUUAGGGCUAGGGUUAGGAUAAGAUUAGAGAUAGAGCUAAAUUAGGGCUAGGAUUAAGGCUAGGUUUUGUGUUUAGCUUAAGCCUAGGGUUAGGGUUAGGGUUAGGUUUAAAUUUAGGGUAACGGAUGACAUUAUAGCUAGGUUUAGAGGUAGGGUGAAGGUUAGAAUUAGAGUUAGGUGUAGGGCUAGAGUUAUGGUUAUGAUUAAGGGUAGGUUUAGGGCUAGGUUGAGGGCUAGGUGUGUUUUUAGGGUUAGGGCUAGGAUUACGGCUAGAUCUAAUUUCAGGUCCAGAAUUAUGGUUAAAGAUAGUUUUAGGAUUAGGUUUAUGGCUAGGUCUAGGCUAAGGUUAGGUGUUGGGUUACGGUCAAGUGUAGAGCUAGGGGUAUUAUUAGGGUCAAGGUCAGAGUUAGGGUUUGAGACAGGUUAAGGUUUCGAGUUUGGGCUUGAAUUAGUUUUAUGAUUAGGGUUAGAGUAAUGAUAGGGUUAGGUUUAGGAUUCAGGUUAGGUUUAGGGUAAUGGAAGUGUUAGGAUUCGGGAUAGGGUUAGGUUUAUGCCUAGGGUUAUCAUUAUGGUUCGGGUUAUUAUUAUGGUAAUGGAUAGAGUUAGAGAUCAGUUUAAG